rnacentral:rRNA from 1 species
GACGAACGCUGGCGGCGUGCUUAACACAUGCAAGUCGAACGGAAAGGCCCUGCUUUUGUGGGGUGCUCGAGUGGCGAACGGGUGAGUAACACGUGAGUAACCUGCCCUUGACUUUGGGAUAACUUCAGGAAACUGGGGCAAUACCGGAUAGGAGCUCCUGCUGCAUGGUGGGGGUUGGAAAGUUUCGGCGGUUGGGGAUGGACUCGCGGCUUAUCAGCUUGUUGGUGGGGUAGUGGCUUACCAAGGCUUUGACGGGUAGCCGGCCUGAGAGGGUGACCGGCCACAUUGGGACUGAGAUACGGCCCAGACUCCUACGGGAGGCAGCAGUGGGGAAUAUUGCACAAUGGGCGGAAGCCUGAUGCAGCAACGCAGCGUGCGGGAUGACGGCCUUCGGGUUGUAAACCGCUUUCGCCUGUGACGAAGCGUGAGUGACGGUAAUGGGUAAAGAAGCACCGGCUAACUACGUG